rnacentral:rRNA from 1 species
AUUGAACGCUGGCGGCAGGCCUAACACAUGCAAGUCGAGCGGAUGAAGGGAGCUUGCUCCUGGAUUCAGCGGCGGACGGGUGAGUAAUGCCUAGGAAUCUGCCUGGUAGUGGGGGAUAACGUCCGGAAACGGGCGCUAAUACCGCAUACGUCCUGAGGGAGAAAGUGGGGGAUCUUCGGACCUCACGCUAUCAGAUGGGCCUAGGUCGGAUUAGCUAGUUGGUGGGGUAAAGGCCUACCAAGGCGGCGAUCCGUAACUGGUCUGAGAGGAUGAUCAGUCACACUGGAACUGAGACACGGUCCAGACUCCUACGGGAGGCAGCAGUGGGGAAUAGUGGACAAUGGGCGAAAGCCUGAUCCAGCCAUGCCGCGUGUGUGAAGAAGGUCUUCGGAUUGUAAAGCACUUUAAGUUGGGAGGAAGGGCAGUAAGUUAAUACCUUGCUGUUUUGACGUUACCAACAGAAUAAGCACCGGCUAACUUCGUG